rnacentral:misc_RNA from 1 species
GAUGAAGAACGUAGCGAAAUGCGAUAAGUAAUGUGAAUUGCAGAAUUCAGUGAAUCAUCGAAUCUUUGAACGCACAUUGCGCCCGCCAGUAUUCUGGCGGGCAUGCCUGUUCGAGCGUCAUUACGACCCUCAGGCCCCCGGGCCUGGCGUUGGGGAUCGGCGGAGCCCCCCGUGGGCACACGCCGUCCCCCAAAUGCAGUGGCGGUCCCGCCGCAGCUUCCAUCGCGUAGUAGCUAACACCUCGCGACUGGAGAGCGGCGCGGCCACGCCGUAAAACACCCAACUCUUCUGAAGUUGACCUCGAAUCAGGUAGGAAUACCCGCUGAACUUAAGCAUAUCAAUAAGCGGACGA